AACUCAACACCUUUGAAUUACAUCAAAAGAAAGAAUUAUGAAAAUAUUCUAAGCAACCCAACCCAACCUAUUUGAACCUAACAACAGUAGGUAUAUUAAACCUACCACCUUUGAAUCACAAAAAGGUAGAAAAUUUGAACUACUGUUACCCGCCCCUAAAUCUAAUGAACCCAACAAUAAUAAGUAUAUUAAACCUAUCACCUUUGAAUCACAGAAAAGAAAGAAGAAAGACCAAGGUGCCACAACUAGGAGGAAGAAUCCUAGUUGAUAAACCUAAUAAGUUUUGCAAGCAACUUAAGGAAAACCCU
rnacentral:lncRNA from 1 species